rnacentral:rRNA from 1 species
AUACGGAGGGUGCAAGCGUUAAUCGGAAUUACUGGGCGUAAAGCGCGCGUAGGCGGUUUAAUCAGUCGGAUGUGAAAGCCCCGGGCUCAACCUGGGAACUGCUUUCGAUACUGUUAAGCUAGAGUAUGGUAGAGGGAAGUGGAAUUCCAGGUGUAGCGGUGAAAUGCGUAGAUAUCUGGAGGAACAUCAGUGGCGAAGGCGACUUCCUGGACCAAUACUGACGCUGAGGUGCGAAAGCGUGGGGAGCAAACAGGAUUAGAAACCCUAGUAGUCC